rnacentral:rRNA from 1 species
CGUAGGGUGCGAGCGUUAAUCGGAAUUACUGGGCGUAAAGUGUGCGCAGGUGGCUGAGCAAGUCGAGUGUGAAAUCCCCGGGCUUAACUUGGGAAUUGCGCUCGAAACUACUUGGCUCGAGUGUGGCAGAGGAAGGUGGAAUUCCAGGUGUAGCGGUGAAAUGCGUAGAGAUCUGGAGGAACACCGAUGGCGAAGGCAGCCUUCUGGGCCAACACUGACGCUCAUGCACGAAAGCGUGGGGAGCAAACAGGAUUAGAUACCCUGGUAGUCCACGCCCUGAACGAUGAUGACUAGUUGUUGGGGGAGUUAAAUCCCUUAGUAACGCAGCUAACGCGUGAAGUCAUCCGCCUGGGGAGUACGGUCGCAAGAUUA